rnacentral:snRNA from 1 species
AUCGUUUCUCGGCCUUUUGGGUAAAAUCAAGUGUAGUAUCUGUUCUCAUCAGUAUGAUAUCUGAUAUGGUCUCUGUUCAGAGACUAUAUAUUAAAUUGGUUUUUGUAGUUAAAAGCUGGGAUAGAGGCUUGCUACGUCGACUCCACACAUUGGUUGGGUAUUGCAGUGUUUCCAGGAACGGUGCAUACCUU